GCUUACGGCCAUACCACCCUGAGCACGCCCGAUCUCGUCUGAUAUCGGAAGCUAAGCUGUGUCGGGCCUGGUUAGUACUUGAAUGGGAGACCGCCUGGGAAUACCAGGUGCUGCAAGCU
rnacentral:rRNA from 1 species